rnacentral:rRNA from 1 species
GACGAACGCUGGCGGCGUGCUUAACACAUGCAAGUCGAACGGAAAGGCCCUGCUUUUGUGGGGUUCUCGAGUGGCGAACGGGUGUGUAACACGUGAGUAACCUGCCCUUGAUUUUGGGAUAACUUCAGGAAACUGGGGCUAAUACCGGAUAGGAGCUCCUGCCGCAUGGUGGGGGUUGGAAAGUUUCGGCGGUUGGGGAUGGACUCGCGGCUUAUCCGCUUGUUGGUGGGGUAGUGGCUUACCAAGGCUUUGACGGGUCGCCGGCCUGAGAGGGUGACCGGCCACAUUGGGACUGAGAUACGGCCCAGACUCCUACGGGAGGCAGCAGUGGGGAGUAUUGCACAAUGGUCGGAAGCCUGAUGCAGCAACGCCGCGUGCGGAAUGACGGCCUUCGGGUUGUAAACCGCUUUCGCCUGUGACAAGGCGUGAGUGACGGUAAUGGGUAAAGAAGCACCGGCUAACUACGUG